AAGUCGUAACAAGGUUUCCGUAGGUGAACCUGCGGAAGGAUCAUUACUGAGUUAGUGUUUUAGUGCACUUUACUCAAAGAAAAUUAACAACAAAGACUUUUAAAAAGUUAAAAAGUCAAUUUUUUUUUACCAUGUGAAAAUAUUAUAUUAUUUUACUACUAGUAUAAUAGUUUUUUUACUUAUAUAAAAAUUAUAAAUAAAACAACUGUUAGCAACGGAUCACUUGGUUCUCA
rnacentral:misc_RNA from 1 species